UGAUGGAAAAGCUGCCAGUUAUCCAAGGCCAUCUGCUUCUCCUCUUCAUACAUAAGAAAGUAAAUUUUGUGCUCUUUUACUACUCAUCUAUCUGAAGAAUUACACAUUGCAUCGUACGAGUACACGCAGUAUGUAACAUAACAAUCUGUUGUUGUACAGUUCUUCAAUUCCGUAACAUCUAAAUUUGACAUUUCUUUGAUGUAUUUUCAUUUUGGCAUUUG
rnacentral:misc_RNA from 1 species